CAAAGAACUUUGAAAAGAGAGUUCAAGAGGACGUGAAACCACAUGGAUUGAAACGGAUAGAGUUAACAUCGCCGGCGGUGUUCAGUGCUUUUGGGUGCCAUGCCGUGCAUUGCUUCCUCUCGGGGAGGCGUGUGCGUCGCUGGAGUGCCCUUAGGUACGCUUUCACUGCUGGUAUGCGCCGAAACACUCGGAACCCCCCUGGAACGCUCGUUGCGUGGCCCGCCUCGGCGGUCACCAGCACGUGGCAGUUACAGUGGAUGGGAUGCCGAGUGGCUGCGAAAGCCUUGUUCUGCGUGUUCCUUUCUGGUGCCUAUGCGCUGCAUGCUUUGUAUAUCGUAAGAUAUACGGGUAUGCUUCGGUGUUCGUGUCAGGGAGAUGAUUCUCGUGGGGCUUGUCUUCGGUGUCGAAACGUUGACCACCUAUCCGACCCGUCUUGAAACACGGACCAAGAAGUUUAGUAAGUAUGCGAGUCAUUGGGGACGAAACCUCAUUGGCGUAGUGAAAGCAAAGUAUAUGCGAUCUGGGGUCCUCGUGGCCUCAGCGCAGCAUAGCCCCAUGCCAGCUGCUUGCAGCGGUGUGGAGGUAGAGCAUACUUACUGAGACCCGAAAGAUGGUGAACUAUGCUUGAGCAGGAUGAAGCCAGGGGAAACUCUGGUGGAAGUCCGUAGCGGUUCUGACGUGCAAAUCGAUCGUAAGACUUGAGUAUAGGGGCGAAAGACUAAUCGAACCAUC
rnacentral:rRNA from 1 species